rnacentral:tRNA from 1 species
AGCCAAGUGGUGGAAUUGGUAGACACGCGACACUCAGAAUGUCGUGCCCACAUGCGGCGUGCGAGUUCAACUCUCGCCUUGGCUAC